rnacentral:rRNA from 1 species
UACGUAGGCAGCGAGCGUUGUUCGGAGUUACUGGGCGUAAAGCGUGCGUAGGCGGUUGUCUAAGUUUGGUGUGAAAUCUCCCGGCUUAACUGGGAGGGUGCGCCGAAAACUGGGUGACUGGAGUGUCGGAGAGGUAAGCGGAAUUCCUGGUGUAGCGGUGAAAUGCGUAGAGAUCAGGAGGAACACCUGUGGUGUAGACAGCUUACUGGACGAUAACUGACGCUGAGGCACGAAAGCGUGGGUAGCAAACAGGAUUAGAUACCCUGGUAGUCCACGCCCUAAACGAUGCAUACUUGGUGUGGGCAGUUCAUUCUGUCCGUGCCGGAGCUAACGCGUUAAGUAUGCCGCCUGGGGAGUACGGUCGCAAGGCUGAA